rfam:Roseovarius sp. TM1035 1101493006647, whole genome shotgun sequence.
UCUCCUACGCAGGGGAGUCCCAACUGAGGGACUGAGAGGCGGCUGGCAAUCAUCUUUGCAGAUAUUGCAGUGUCGCGACCCUUUGAACCUGACCCAGUUGAUACUGGCGUAGGAAGCUAGGGCUCUCGAUCA